rnacentral:lncRNA from 11 species
GGAGUCUCCAAAACUCCUCCCCUUUUCAACCAGCCUCACUUAAGAUGGCUGCCUCCCUGGCAUUCCCUCUCAAAAUGGAGGCCUGCCCUACUGUUAUCCAGGCUCCCUUUCCGGCCUACAGAUGGCUUUAA